rnacentral:rRNA from 1 species
GUCUAACCUUCGGGGGGACGGUUACCACGGAGUGAUUCAUGACUGGGGUGAAGUCGUAACAAGGUAGCCGUAGGGGAACCUGCGGCUGGAUCACCUCCUUAAUCGAAGACAUCAGCUUUCUCAUAAGCUCCCACACGAAUUGCUUGAUUCAUAGUCGAAGACGAUGCUGUAACGCGACCCUGUUAUAGGUCUGUAGCUCAGUUGGUUAGAGCGCACCCCUGAUAAGGGUGAGGUCGGCAGUUCAAAUCUGCCCAGACCUACCAAUUGCUUGGUGCAGAAGAUUACGGGGCCAUAGCUCAGCUGGGAGAGCGCCUGCCUUGCACGCAGGAGGUCAGCGGUUCGAUCCCGCUUGGCUCCACCACUCUCUACGCGGUUACGGUGUGAAGAGAAAGAGUUCAGAAAUGAGCGCUUCAGGGGAUACCUGAUGAGUGCUGAUUUCUGGUCUUUUGACCGGUACGAAUAUCGUUCUUUAAAAAUUUGGAUAUGUGAUAGAAGUGACUGAUUAAUUGCUUUCACUGGCAAUUGAUCUGGUCAAGGUAAAAUUUGUAGUUCUCAAGACGCAAAUUUUCGGCGAAUGUCGUCUUCACGAUUGAGACAGUAACCAGAUUGCUUGGGGUUAUAUGGUCAAGUGAAGAAGCGCAUACGGUGGAUGCCUUGGCAGUCAGAGGCGAUGAAAGACGUGGUAGCCUGCGAAAAGCUUUGGGGAGUCGGCAAACAGACUGUGAUCCAGAGAUCUCCGA